AGUUCUGACAGCUUCUCCCGAGGAAUCGGUCGACUUUUGCAUCUUGCGUCUACACCUCUUGUAUUUGCGUGCGAUUAAAGUCGUCACUCACGUCCUUUUCAGGACGGUCGACUCUACUUUUAAUUCCGUGCGUCGCGUAUUGUGUGCGAAUUACGAGCGGUGUGCUGUGUGUGUGUUUUCUUCGUGUGUUGGACGUCGGCCACGUUCGAGUUUCCUCGGCGUGCCGAUCUCCACCCGGCGAUCGCUACCUACGCGACAGGGCUGAAAAGGUCUGCCCGUGGUCCAGGAUAGGUUCCCUCGAGACGUCGAGGCGUCCUGCGACCGAGGAAGGUGCAUCCCACCCACGUGCGGCCACGGCUUUACGUCGCGCCGUCUACGAUUCGUUCUGCGAACAAGACUCCGAGCAUGGUCCAGUCACGGAGUGCCUAUACUGUUCCGGGGUGUACCUGUAGUCCGUCGGCACCUCGUGCAGCUCUCGAGGAGCAGCGCGCAAUCGAUGUAGUACUAUUGCGCACCCGAGCGAUGACAUAUCGACGAGCCAUCGGACAUUUAUUUUUAGCCAUCUUCGAGGGUCAUGUGCUAAGUCGUUUUGGAAACACAAAGGACAACGUAUCACUCUUCAAUGCAGACGUACGUUGCAAAUGCAACAACGCAGCCAAAACUCGAAAGAAGCUCGCAAAGCAAUAGAAAUAGACUGAAAUAAUUAUAUUAUAACUAUAAUUAAGAAAGUUUGUUUAAAAAAUAUGUAUAAGCAUUAAUAAAGUUUAUUUCAUGUUAAAAAAAAAAACA